rnacentral:rRNA from 1 species
AGUCAACAUAGCAAUAUGUGGCAUACGGCUCAGUAACACGUAGUCAACAUGCCCAGGGGACGUGGAUAACCUCGGGAAACUGAGGAUAAACCGCGAUAGGUCAUCACUUCUGGAAUGGGUAAUGACUUAAAUCUAUAUGGCCUCUGGAUUGGACUGCGGCCGAUCAGGCUGUUGGUGAGGUAAUGGCCCACCAAACCUAAAACCGGUACGGGCUCUGAGAGGAGAAGCCCGGAGAUGGGCACUGAGACAAGGGCCCAGGCCCUAUGGGGCGCAGCAGGCGCGAAAACUCUGCAAUAGGCGAAAGCCUGACAGGGUUACUCUGAGUGAUGCCCGCUAAGGGUAUCUUUUGGCACCUCUAAAAAUGGUGCAGAAUAAGGGGUGGGCAAGUCUGGUGUCAGCCGCCGCGGUAAUACCAGCACCCCGAGUUGUCGGGACGAUUAUUGGGCCUAAAGCAUCCGUAGCCUGUUCUGCAAGUCCUCCGUUAAAUCCACCUGCUCAACGGAUGGGCUGCGGAGGAUACCGCAGAGCUAGGAGGCGGGAGAGGCAAACGGUACUCAGUGGGUAGGGGUAAAAUCCAUUGAUCUACUGAAGACCACCAGUGGCGAAGGCGGUUUGCCAGAACGCGCUCGACGGUGAGGGAUGAAAGCUGGGGGAGCAAACCGGAUUAGAUACCCGGGUAGUCCCAGCUGUAAACGAUGCAGACUCGGUGAUGGGUUGGCUUCGAGCCAACCCAGUGCCGCAGGGAAGCCGUUAAGUCUGCCGCCUGGGGAGUACGGUCGCAAGA